AUAGGAAGACCCCAACGUUUUAAUUUGGGGGGAGAGACUCACCCAUACGCUGAAAGUGUCUGUCUGGAAUAGAAAGAGAAAAGCAGUGCAUGGUCAGAGGGGAUUUUUCAUCCCAUAUGCAGGACUUUGGGAAGACCCCACAUUCCUUCAGUUUAGUGACUGCAACUUACGGAACUGUGAAUGCUGUUUGUCUGCAAAAAGGACAGAAAAAACAGGGCAUGAUGAGGUGGCACAGCUUGUCAUCCCAUGGGAAACCCGUAUUUCUUUGGUGGGGGAAAGAAGACUCACCCAAUUCUUUAGUUUGAUGUACUGGAAAAGGAAGAGAAAAGCAGCGCAUGAUGAGAGGAACAUCUCAUCCCACAGCUCACACAGGCAGACCCCAUUUUUUAUGUAAUUUGGGAGGGAGGACUCACCCAGUUCAGCAGCUAGAGUAUCUGCAAAAGGAACCAAUGAGAAAUGCAUGAUGAGAAGGGUCUGAUUAUCAUCCGAUGGCUGAUCCCAUGGGAAGACCCCAAAUCUGUUUGGUUUGGGAAGAGAGACUCACACAACUUUACAUCCAAUAUCACUGCAAAGGAAAAGCAGAAACAGUGCAUGAUGAGAAGAACAGCUCAUCCCACAGCUCCCACAAGAUUUCCCCAGCAUUUAUAAUUUGAGAGGGGAGACUCACAAAUCACUGCACGCUGUUUUUCUGGAAAAGAAAGGGAAAAGCAACACACAGUGAGAGGAACAUCCUAUCCCACAGAAAGCCCAGGCAGACGCCCUUUUUUAUUUAAUUUGGGAGGCUGCACUCACCCAGUUCUCUAGCCAGUUUCUCUGCAAAAGAAACACAUAUGAAAUACAUGAUGAGAAGGGUCUGAUUAUCAUCCGAUGGCUGAUCCCAUGGGAAGACCCCAAAUUCCUUCAUUGUUGGGAGGGAGACUUACUCAGAUCUGCAAAGCCAGAACCUGCAAAGGAAAAGUAGAAACAGUGCGUGAUGAGAGGAACAUCUCAUCCACAGCUCCCACAUGAGGACCCCAAAGUUUUUAAUUUGGGAUGGGAGACUCACCCAUCUCGUCACAAUCUUUCUCUGGGAAAGAAAGAGAAAAGCAGUGCAUGGUCAGAGGGGAUUUUUCAUGCCAUGUGCAGUCCCUUUGGAAGACCCCACAUUCCCUCAGUUCAGUGACUGCAACUUACUCAGCUCUAAAUUGCAAUUCUCUGCAAAAAAAAAGACAGAAGAAGCACCACAUGAUGAUGCGGGACAGCUUGUCAUCCCAUGAGAGACCCCAUAUUUCUUUGCUUUAGUGAAUGUAGACUCACCCACUUUGUCUGUAUUUUCGUCUGCAAAAUAAGAGAAAAGCAAUGCAUGAUGAGUGAAACAUCUCCUCCCACAGCUCACACAGGCAGACUCUCUUUACUUUGAGUUUGGGAGGGAGCACUCACUCAGUUUUGAAGCUAAUUUCUCUGCAAAGGUAAGAAAUAGGAAAUGCAUGAGGAGAGGGGGACAUGUUUUCAUUCAAUGGCUGAUCCCAUGGGAAGACCCCAAAUUCCUUCAGUGUCAGGAGGGACACUUACUCAGAUUUGCAGCAUAGGAACCUGCAAUGGAAAGGUAGAAACAGUGCAUGGUGAGAGGAACAUCCUAUCCCACAGCUCCCCAAGGCAGAGCAGAGCAGUGCUUGGUCAGAGGGGACAGCUGCUCAUCCCACAGCUGAUGCCAUGGGGAGACCCUGAAUUCCCUCACUUAGGGGAAGGAGACUUACCCAACAUUGCAUCUUUUCUCUCUGCAAAAUAGAAGCAAAAGAAAUGCAUGGUCAGAGGGAACACCUUCUCAUCCUAUGGCUGCUCCCAUACCCAGACCCCAAAUCUUUUAUUUCUAUUAAGAGGCCAAUGACCACUUUGGUCCCAAGAAGGAGUUAAAUGAAUCAGAAGGAACCGAAUGGGCAAGAGUUCUGCAGAGGAUCAAUCAGGAUUGACAGAUCCCACAACCCCAGCACAUCCCACAGCCCCAACACAUCCCAAGGCCCCAUAGAUCCCAUGGUCCCAGCAUAAACCCAGCACUCUGCAGUCUUCUAUCAGUUCCAUUAAAGGGACUUUGGUGGUGGAAGGGGCUGGAAGGACUCACUCUGCUCUCUGCUCUGUGCGGCUGGAAAACAAAGUGGAGGAAGAGGUGGUCAGUAGGGCAGCUUGGUUUGUGGGGACUUCUCCAGAGGGUCUGGACCUUUCCGUCUGCCCCACGGUCCAGCCACAUUCCUAUCUUCCCACCCACACCCCUUUUUUUCCUUCCUUCAUUCCCAAAAAGAAAGGCAAAUGUUAUUUAAUGAGCACUGGGAAUCUCAGGAAAAAUCUCCCUUCCCCCUCCUGUGUACCUCCAUGUAUCAGACCUCGGCACCACCCCG
ensembl:lncRNA